UUAUUUCCAUGGAGUAAUUGACACGAGCGUCACUCGGUCAGUAUAUGAGAUGCAUCACGCCAUUACACAAAAGCAGUUUCUGCACGAAGCAUGGAGGAACAAACAAAGGCGGUGGCGCAUGCAUCCAGAAACACCUCACAAAUACAAUACCUCCAUGAUCUCCAUUUCUUUUCUCGAGCAAUCUAUCGAUGUAUAUACAUCGAUUCGUUUAUUUUAGCAAACGCUCUACGUCUUGUCCGGCACCGGGAAGCUGGCUAGUGUUCCACCGUCGGCUUCGGUCCGUCGAUGGAGUCUCUCGAAUACCCUGUAGGAUGCUCCGAUGCGACCUCCUCGCCGAUCAGCAGAGGGAGCUUCGCAGUGACGAGGGCCGAUGGCGGCGGCGGCGAGGGGUCGUUCGGGCUGGGGUCGGGUCCCCUGGGAACCUUCCUCAGCGGCGAGGCGUCGUCGUCUGCGCUCGCCGUCGGCGGCGGAGGGGGAGUUCGGCGCUGGAAGUAGGGAGGUGUCAGGGCCAGGUGGGACGCCCCCACCAGCGAGUGGCGCGCCGCCAACGCCGUGGACACCAGCAUCAUCAGCGGAAGGAGCACCAGCAGCGCCGCCGCCGACGGCGCGACGACGUUCUUGUUCGCGGCCAUGGCAACUGGCUGUUCUCUGCUACCAGUACACACCCUCCUGUUCUGCUUGUGCUGC
rnacentral:lncRNA from 1 species